UUGCGAAUGAAUUGCAUUAGUAUUGGAAAUAUAAAAUGUAAUAAAAGAGCAAAUUUGUGUUUGGAUCUUCAGCAGGAGGAGGUGCACAUGAUCUAAAUUCAAGAAAAUUACACCAGAUAAAAAUGGACGAUGUAGCAUUGACACUUCGGACAGGCGUAUCAGUAUCAAUAUCGUGUUUGGUAUCCAAAAAUUACACCAGAUAAAAAUGGACGAUGUAGCAUCGACACUUCAGACAGGCGUAUCAGUAUCAGUAUCGUGUUUGGUAUCCAUGUUUUUGCCUGUGAUUCAUUGAAAAUUAAUCAUCAAGAAGGAGAAGAGCUCUGAUCCGAAGUAGACCAAGGUGGCAACUGAGUAGAAAAAUACGAGGAAACUGAAGUAUUGCCCUGCAUAGAAGAAACAAAU
rnacentral:lncRNA from 1 species